CAUUCAGUAAAUGUAAAACUUGAAAGGGCUGUGUGUGCUCCCUGUGAAAUGAAGAGGGAGAAAUGACCAGGAAAUACUUGAUUUAAAUAGGAAGGAAGGACCUGUGAGUGAAUCCAAAGAUAUGUUACGCUGCUUAACAAAGUGUUAGCCUCUGAUGUGACUGAAGAGGGAUUCAGAGGUCUUGCAGUGCAACUGGGAAAAUUGAAGGUGUUCAAGGACUAAGAGAAGAGCAAGGAUAAGAGAGCUUAGCUGUCUGCUUGAAAAUGCAGAGAUGCACAGGAAAAAGCAGUGGUGCCAUAUGGGGGCUAUACCAUAUUCCUGAAGGAACACCUGGGCAGAGGAGCAGAGUGGAGACAAAGGCACCACAGCAACUUGUCCAUGCUCGAGGAUCACUGGUGGCUGUUUAUCAAGGGUGAUCCUCAGCUGCAAGGUCACUUGAGCACUUUAAAAUACUC
rnacentral:lncRNA from 1 species